rnacentral:rRNA from 1 species
GCAGUAGCCGCGGGAAUACGUAGGUGGCAAGCGUUGUCCGGAAUUAUUGGGCGUAAAGGGCUCGCAGGCGGUUCCUUAAGUCUGAUGUGAAAGCCCCCGGCUCAACCGGGGAGGGUCAUUGGAAACUGGGAAACUUGAGUGCAGAAGAGGAGAGUGGAAUUCCACGUGUAGCGGUGAAAUGCGUAGAGAUGUGGAGGAACACCAGUGGCGAAGGCGACUCUCUGGUCUGUAACUGACGCUGAGGAGCGAAAGCGUGGGGAGCGAACAGGAUUAGAUACCCCUGUAGUCCCUGUCUCUUAUAA